GAUGAACGCUGGCGGCGUGCCUAACACAUGCAAGUCGAACGGACUUACAUUGAAGCCUAGCGAUAUGUAAGUUAGUGGCGGACGGGUGAGUAACGCGUGGGUAACCUGCCUUGUACUGGGGGACAACAGUUGGAAACGACUGCUAAUACCGCAUAAGCGCACAGCUUCGCAUGAAGCAGUGUGAAAAACUCCGGUGGUACAAGAUGGACCCGCGUCGGAUUAGCUAGUUGGGGAGGUAACGGCCAACCAAGGCGACGAUCAGUAGCCGGCCUGAGAGGGUGAACGGCCACAUUGGGACUGAGACACGGACCGAACUCCUACGGGAGGCAGCAGUGGGGAAUAUUGCACAAUGGGGGAAACCCUGAUGCAGCAACGCCGCGUGAGUGAAGAAGUAUUUCGGUAUGUAAAGCUCUAUCAGCAGGAAAGAAAAUGACGGUACCUGACUAAGAAGCCCCGGCUAACUACGUGCCAGCCGCCGCAGUAA
rnacentral:rRNA from 1 species